rnacentral:pre_miRNA from 1 species
CUGAGCAAGAUGGAGAAGCAGGGCACGUGCAUUACUAGCUCAUCUCUUUGCAUAUAUACACAUGCACUCUCCCUAAAUGCAUGUAUGAUUUAGAUGUGUGUGGAGUGUGAUGGUAAUUGAGUUAGUUCUUCAUGUGCCCAUCUUCCCCAUCAUGACCAC